rfam:Larimichthys crocea isolate SSNF unplaced genomic scaffold scaffold128, whole genome shotgun sequence.
GGGGAUGUAGCUCAGUGGUAGAGCGUGUGCUUCGCAUGUACAAGGUCCUGGGAUCAAUCCCCAGCAUCUCCA